rnacentral:rRNA from 1 species
CAAAAAACAAAACUUUCAACAACGGAUCUCUUGGUUCUCGCAUCGAUGAAGAGCGCAGCGAAAUGCGAUACCUAGUGUGAAUUGCAGCCAUCGUGAAUCAUCGAGUUCUUGAACGCACAUUGCGCCCUCUGGUAUUCCGGAGGGCAUGCCUGUUUGAGCGUCGUUUCCUUCUUGCUUGCGAGCAGAAAUGGGGGGGCCCUGGCAUUGGGGCCGCUCUGAAAAGAAACGUUGCGGGCGAAGCGAACUAUGAGUAGGACGCUUGGCCGCCGAACUUAAUACAUAAGCUCGACCUCAAAUCAGGUAGGAAUACCCGCUGAACUUAAGCA